rnacentral:rRNA from 1 species
CACGUAGUUAGCCGUGGCUUUCUGAUUAGGUACCGUCAAGACGUGCACAGUUACUUACACAUUUGUUCUUCCCUAAUAACAGAGUUUUACGAUCCGAAGACCUUCAUCGCUCACGCGGCGUUGCUCCGUCAGGCUUUCGCCCAUUGCGGAAGAUUCCCUACUGCUGCCUCCCGUAGGAGUCUGGACCGUGUCUCAGUUCCAGUGUGGCCGAUCACCCUCUCAGGUCGGCUACGUAUCGUUGCCUUGGUAAGCCAUUACCCCACCAACUAGCUAAUACGGCGCGGGUCCAUCUAUAAGUGAUAGUAAAACCAUCUUUCACUUUAGAACCAUGCGGUUCUAAAUAUUAUCCGGCAUUAGCCCCGGUUUCCCGGAGUUAUUCCAGUCUUAUAGGUAGGUUACCCACGUGUUACUCACCCGUCCGCCGCUAACGUCAAAGGAGCAAGCUCCUUAUCUGUUCGCUCGACUUGCAUGUAUUAGGCACGCCGCCAGCGUUCAUCCUGAGCCAGGAUCAAACUCU